rnacentral:rRNA from 1 species
CCUGGUCUUGACAUCCACGGAAUCCUGCAGAGAUGCGGGAGUGCCGCAAGGAACCGUGAGACAGGUGCUGCAUGGCUGUCGUCAGCUCGUGUCGUGAGAUGUUGGGUUAAGUCCCGCAACGAGCGCAACCCUUGUCCUUAGUUGCCAUCAUUAAGUUGGGAACUCUAAGGAGACCGCCGGUGACAAACCGGAGGAAGGUGGGGAUGACGUCAAGUCAUCAUGGCCUUUAUGACCAGGGCUACACACGUGCUACAAUGGCAAGUACAGAGGGAAGCCAACCGGCGACGGGGAGCAAAUCCCAGAAAACUUGUCGUAGUCCGGAUUGGAGUCUGCAACUCGACUGCAUGAAGUCGGAAUCGCUAGUAAUCGCGGAUCAGAAUGUCGCGGUGAAUACGUUCCCGGGUCUUGUACACACGCAAUC